rnacentral:rRNA from 1 species
UGGGGAAUAUUGCACAAUGGGCGCAAGCCUGAUGCAGCCAUGCCGCGUGUGUGAAGAAGGCCUUCGGGUUGUAAAGCACUUUCAGCGAGGAGGAAGGUGGUGAGCUUAAUACGCUCAUCAAUUGACGUUACUCGCAGAAGAAGCACCGGCUAACUCCGUGCCAGCAGCCGCGGUAAUACGGAGGGUGCAAGCGUUAAUCGGAAUUACUGGGCGUAAAGCGCACGCAGGCGGUUUGUUAAGUCAGAUGUGAAAUCCCCGGGCUCAACCUGGGAACUGCAUUUGAAACUGGCAAGCUAGAGUCUCGUAGAGGGGGGUAGAAUUCCAGGUGUAGCGGUGAAAUGCGUAGAGAUCUGGAGGAAUACCGGUGGCGAAGGCGGCCCCCUGGACGAAGACUGACGCUCAGGUGCGAAAGCGUGGGGCAGCAAACAGGAUUAGAUACCCUGGUAGUCCACGCUGUAAACGAUGUCGAUUUUGGAGGUUGUGCCCUUGAGGCGUGGCUUCCGGAGCUAACGCGUUAAAUCGACCGCCUGGGGAGUACGGCCGCAAGGUU